AAAACAAUUAUGUUUUGAAAUUUUUGUUUUUUUAUUAAUUAUUUUCUAAAAAAUUUAAAAUGUUAAACUAUUUAAAAAAAAUAUAAAGGACCAAUAAUGUCAGAAAAAAAUAUAAAGGACCAAAGGUGAUAAUUUCGCAAACCUCAGGGACCAUUUGUGAUCAAACCCAAAAUGUUUAAAACAUUGUUUAAUCCACGUGGCGUCCUCGUUAGCAAUCUAAAGGAAAAUUUUGACGGAACUUGACGGCGGGACCAAAUUGAUGUGUGAGGUGUAACAUAAGGGACGAAUAAUGUUAGAAAAAAAAAAACAUAAAGGACUAAAGGUGAUAAUUUGAAAAACCUCAGGAACCAUUUGUGAUAAAAAUCUUUUUUUUUUUUUUUGUUAUUGUUUGGUUCAAUUCUUUUAAUAAAUUAUGUGACUUCAAUUUUAUGUUUUUUAUUCUUGAUAAAUGAAUCCAGUUACAUGUCAUCAUGCAGUAUAGCUAGUUAAAUAAAGUGACUGUAGCUAGCUAUAUAUAUGUAUGAAUGAAAGUGAC
rnacentral:lncRNA from 1 species